AUUGAACGCUGGCGGCAGGCCUAACACAUGCAAGUCGAGCGGAGCGGCGGACGGGUGAGUAAUGCCUAGGAAUCUGCCUGGUAGUGGGGGAAAACGUUCGGAAACGGGCGCUAAUACCGCAUCCUAUGAGAUGAGCCUAGGUCGGAUUGGCUUGUUGUGGUGGUAAAGGCCUACCAAGGCGACGAUCCGUAACUGGGCUGUGUGGAUGAUCAGUCACACUGGAACGGAGACACGGUCCAGACUCAUACGGGAGGCAGCAGUGGGGAAUAUUGGACAAUGGGCGAAAGCCUGAUCCAGCCAUGCCGCGUGUAUGAAGAAGGUCUUCGGAUUGUAAAGCACUUUAAGUUGGGAGGCGUUACCAACAGAAUAAGCACCGGCUAACUUCGUGCCAGCAGCCGCGGUAAUUC
rnacentral:rRNA from 1 species